rnacentral:rRNA from 1 species
AGUGAACGCUGGCGGUAGGCCUAACACAUGCAAGUCGAACGGCAGCACAGUAAGAGCUAGCUCUUACGGGUGGCGAGUGGCGGACGGGUGAGGAAUACAUCGGAAUCUACUUUUUCGUGGGGGAUAACGUAGGGAAACUUACGCUAAUACCGCAUACGACCUACGGGUGAAAGCAGGGGAUCUUCGGACCUUGCGCGAUUGAAUGAGCCGAUGUCGGAUUAGCUAGUUGGCGGGGUAAAGGCCCACCAAGGCGACGAUCCGUAGCUGGUCUGAGAGGAUGAUCGGCCACACUGGAACUGAGACACGGUCCAGACUCCUACGGGAGGCAGCAGUGGGAAAUAUUGGACAAGGGGCGCAAGCCUGAUCCAGCCAUACCGCGUGGGUGAAGAAGGCCUUCGGGUUGUAAGCCCUUUUGUUGGGAAAGAAAGGCAGCAGGUUAAUACCCCGCUGUUCUGACGGUACCCAAAGAAUAAGCACCGGCUAACUUCGUG